GGCAAAGCUCGGAGUCCCGGCGGAGGGGCGGACAGGUGGAGGGGUUCCACUCGCACUGACCGCAGCGCACGGGCAGCGGGGCUGACCAGGCGCUUCCCGGCCCCAUAAAACUCGGGCGGGAGGCGAACGCCGUUUUAUGCAGGCGGCCGGGCGGCCUGGCUCGCUUUCAUUCCCGGCUCCGCGAGGCGCGAGGGCCGAGCCCUCCAAGCUCGUAAACGCCUUGGCCGCGAGCUCCCUCCCCGGGCCCGCGGGCCGUCAUAUAAGGCGCAGCGCCGGCUUGGGGUCCAGCCGCCCGCCCCUGCCGCCACCGCACCAUGUCCUGCCUCUACUCCCGCCUCAGCGCCCCCUGCGGGGUCCGCGCCUUCAGCUGCAUCUCGGCCUGCGGGCCCCGGCCCGGCCGCUGCUGCAUCACCGCCGCCCCCUACCGCGGCGUCUCCUGCUACCGCGGCCUCACCGGAGGCUUCGGCAGCCACAGCGUGUGCGGGGGCUUCCGCGCCGGCUCCUGCGGACGCAGCUUCGGCUACCGCUCCGGGGGCGUGUGCGGACCCAGCCCCCCAUGCAUCGCCACCGUGUCGGUCAACGAGAGCCUCCUCACGCCCCUCAACCUGGAGAUCGACCCCAACGCACAGUGCGUGAAGCAGGAGGAGAAGGAGCAGAUCAAGUCCCUCAACAGCAGGUUCGCGGCCUUCAUGGACAAGGUGCACUUCCUGGAGCAGCAGAACAAGCUGCUGGAGACAAAGCUGCAGUUCUUCCAGAACCGUGAGUGCUGCAAGAGCAACCUGGAGCCUCUGUUUGAGGGCUACAACUCUGCGACGGGAGGCCGAGUGCAUGGAAGCCAACAGUGGGAGGCUGGCCUCAGAGCUCAACCACGUGCAGGAGGUGCUGGAGGGUUACAAGAAGAAGUAUGAAGAAGAGGUGGCACUAAGGGCCACUGCUGAGAAUGAAUUUGUGGCCUUGAAGAAGGAUGUGGACUGUGCCUACCUGCGCAAAUCAGACCUAGAGGCCAACGUGGAGGCCCUGACCCAGGAGAUCGACUUCCUGAGGCGGCUAUAUGAGGAGGAGAUCCGCGUUCUCCAGUCGCACAUCUCAGACACCUCAGUGGUCGUCAAGAUGGACAACAGUCGGGACCUGAACAUGCACUGUGUCAUCACUGAGAUCAAAGCUCAGUACGAUGACAUUGCCACCCGCAGCCGGGCCGAGGCCGAGUCCUGGUACCGCAGCAAGUGUGAGGAGAUGAAGGCCACGGUGAUCAGGCACGGGGAGACCCUGCGCCGCACCAAGGAGGAGAUCAACGAGCUGAACCGCAUGAUCCAGAGGCUGACAGCCGAGGUGGAGAACGCCAAGUGCCAGAACUCCAAGCUGGAGGCCGCGGUGGCCCAGUCUGAGCAGCAGGGUGAGGCGGCCCUCAGUGAUGCCCGCUGCAAGCUGGCCGAGCUGGAGGGUGCCCUGCAGAAGGCCAAGCAGGACAUGGCCUGCCUGAUCAGGGAGUACCAGGAGGUGAUGAACUCCAAGCUGGCCUGGACUUUGAGAUCGCCACCUACAGGCGCCUGCUGGAGGGCGAGGAGCAGAGGUUGUGUGAGGGCGUUGGUGCUGUAAAUGUCUGUGUCAGCAGCUCUCGCGGCGGGGUCUUAUGCGGGGACCUGUGCGUGUCGGGCUCCCGGCCGGUGACGGGCAGCGUCUGCAGUGCCCCCUGCAGCGGG
ensembl:lncRNA KRT87P keratin 87, pseudogene